CAUGGGAAGAAGAAUAUAAAUAUCCAAAAGAAGAAAAGCAAUAAAGGUGAUAAGGAAGAUCAGAAGAGCAUCAAACUCAAUUGAGCCAGUGUUAUGAGAUACGAAAGGGAGUGUUGCCACGUGAAAGAGUUAUUAUUGGAGAUCAUGCUAAAAUAAGUAGGACUCAGUAGAGUCAGGCAAAAUUGAUGUCUGAAUGACAAAAAUGGAUAGUAAAGGUCGGUGCAAUUUCAAGAAAUGAAUCUUGAACAGAAUGAGAAUGUUGCAAGAAAGGUGAUGACAAGUUUAGGUGUUCCCAUCAUACUCAUUUGAGGGGCAAGCAUCAACCCCAUAACAAAAUUAAGAAUCAAAGAAUC
rnacentral:lncRNA from 1 species